rnacentral:lncRNA from 13 species
GUGAGUUAUUUUCGCUAAUGAUGUUAUGCAGCCAAGCAUCUCUUAAAGUCUAUUUCUGAGAAAAUGAGAGAGGCCCCGGGGGUGAGCUGUAAAAGCAUUGUCUGGAUGAAACGGAGCCUCACUGUACGUCUCUGAGGAACACACCCUCCAAAGCAGUUAUUAAACUGGACAGCCUAGGACUAAUCCUGCAGAAAUAAGAAGUAUUCCAAAGCACGUAUGCUGCAGACUGAACUACUACAGAAGUCUCAAGAAAAAACAGGUGCCUGAAUAUUUUGUCCUGGUAUGUGAAAGCCCAUUCGUUUACACAGACUGCAGUCUAGUAGCCUGCUUUGAGUGGGUCUUCGACUCAUGCUCCACAUUUUGUCAAAGCAUGCAUUUGUCAUUCAGAAAAUAUU